CAUCACCCCAACACCAGUACCAAAAUCUUCGACCUCCGCUGCCUCUCCUCCUAUCAAGUCAUCCAACCCAGCAAAGUCACCUGCCUUAGGAUUUUGUUCUCAUUUUUCAGUUUAAGUGUGAGAAAAUCAAUAGAUUUAAAUUGGAAUGAUGAAGGAGUAAUCACUUUGUUUUGGAAACUCUCGAAGCUUCUUCAACUAGUAUAGUUUAUUGAUUUUUUUAUUCAUUUGCUUUUCCUGAUUAUCUCAACUAUGCAUACGAUGGGCAGGGUGGUGUUAUCAUUUUGGAACCCUUACCAUCGAGCUUAUAUCAGAUUAAUCGGCUUGUGUUCGAGGUAUUACUUUAUCGUGUACAUAUCUUGAAUUCGCAAAAAUGAUCAUUUAGAAAGUUUAUAUGGUGAAUGUCUGUACUAAUGACAAUUUAUUAACCAAUGUGUUAUUUAUUGAACUCUUUUAGAAGUAGUUUGACCUAACAAUAUUUUGUUUGUUAAAGCUUUAUUGUUCAAGACGAUCUUUUCAUAUUAUGUUGACAGUAACAACUAAUUAUAAAACUAUUAUGAUACAUCCACAAGAUUUUCAGAAUAUACUUCUAAACAAGGUUAAUCUGGUUUCAAAGUAUAUUGAAGCUGGAAGAUAUGAAUCAGCAUGAGCAUUUUCACAAUCAACGGGAUGCAGGCUAGGAUGGACAGAUGACAAUGCAGCAACAGAAGAAUAAUCUGGAAGAUGAUUA
rnacentral:lncRNA from 1 species